UAAUAAGUGUUUAUGGCACUUUUUAAAUCCAUAUCCACCUUGUGUGCAAUGUCGGUCGAUCUUCUUUUUUUUGAGGAUCGACCAAACAUCAACCUUUAUCUUUUAACUCUUUGUCUGAAAAAUAUUAUGAAUAAACAAUUCAAAAUA
rnacentral:misc_RNA from 1 species